rnacentral:rRNA from 1 species
UACGUAGGGGCAAGCGUUGUCCGGAAUCAUUGGGCGUAAGAGCGCGUAGGCGGUCCGGUAAGUCCGCUCUGAAAGUCCGGGGCUCAACCCCGGCGAAGGCGGGCCGGGAUACGUGUCGGGCUAGAGUCCGGGAAGAGCGAGUGGAAUUCCGUGGUGUAGGCGGUGAAAUGCGCAGGAUAUCAGGAGGAACACCAAUGGCGAAGGCAGCUCGCUGGGACGGUACUGACGCUGAGGCACGAAAGCGUGGGGAGC